GAUGAACGCUGGCGGCGUGCCUAAUACAUGCAAGUCGAGCGAACAGAUGAGGAGCUUGCUCCUCUGACGUUAGCGGCGGACGGGUGAGUAACACGUGGAUAACCUACCUAUAAGACUGGGAUAACUUCGGGAAACCGGAGCUAAUACCGGAUAAUAUAUUGAACCGCAUGGUUCAAUAGUGAAAGACGGUUUUGCUGUCACUUAUAGAUGGAUCCGCGCCGCAUUAGCUAGUUGGUAAGGUAACGGCUUACCAAGGCAACGAUGCGUAGCCGACCUGAGAGGGUGAUCGGCCACACUGGAACUGAGACACGGUCCAGACUCCUACGGGAGGCAGCAGUAGGGAAUCUUCCGCAAUGGGCGAAAGCCUGACGGAGCAACGCCGCGUGAGUGAUGAAGGUCCUCGGAUCGUAAAACUCUGUUAUUAGGGAGGAACAAAUGUGUAAGUAACUAUGCACGUCUUGACGGUACCUAAUCAGAAAGCCACGGCUAACUACGUG
rnacentral:rRNA from 1 species